UGGGGAAUCUUGCACAAUGGAGGCAACUCUGAUGCAGCGACGCCGCGUGAGCGAUGAAGCCCUUCGGGGUGUAAAGCUCUUUCGGCAGGGACGAUAAUGACGGUACCUGCAGAAGAAGCUGCGGCUAACUACGUGCCAGCAGCCGCGGUAAUACGUAGGCAGCAAGCGUUGUUCGGAAUUACUGGGCGUAAAGAGUGUGUAGGCGGCGCCUUAAGUUCGGUGUGAAAUCUCCCGGCUCAACCGGGAGGGUGCGCCGGAAACUGGGGCACUGGAGCGUGGGAGAGGAAAGCGGAAUUCCUGGUGUAGCGGUGAAAUGCGUAGAGAUCAGGAGGAACACCAGCGGUGUAGACGGCUUUCUGGACCAUGGCUGACGCUGAGACACGAAAGCGUGGGGAGCAAACAG
rnacentral:rRNA from 1 species